UACGGAGGGUGCGAGCGUUCUCCGGAAUCACUGGGCGUAAAGGGCGCGUAGGCGGCCUGAUAAGUAGGGGGUGAAAUCUUGCGGCUUAACCGCAAGGCUGCCUUCUAAACUGUCAGGCUAGAGCACAGUAGAGGCAGGUGGAAUUCCCGGUGUAGCGGUGGAAUGCGUAGAGAUCGGGAAGAACAUCAGUGGCGAAGGCGGCCUGCUGGGCUGUUGCUGACGCUGAGGCGCGACAGCGUGGGGAGCAAACAGG
rnacentral:rRNA from 1 species